rnacentral:rRNA from 1 species
AAAGAAACUAACAAGGAUUCCCCUAGUAACGGCGAGUGAAGAGGGAAGAGCUCAAAUUUUAAAUCUGCCUUGUUCCAAGGUCGAGUUGUAAUUUGAAGAAGCGUUUUCUUGGGCUCGCGGCCGGUAGAAGUUCUUUGGAACAGGACAUCAUAGAGGGUGACAAUCCCGUCCGUGACCGGUCGUGCGUUCAUCUACGAUACGCUUUCAAAGAGUCGAGUUGUUUGGGAUUGCAGCUCCAAAUGGGUGGUAAACAUCACCUAAGGCUAAAUAUUGGCGAGAGACCGAUAGCGAACAAGUACCGUGAGGGAAAGAUGAAAAGAACUUUGAAAAGAGAGUUAAACAGUACGUGAAAUUGUUGAAAGGGAAACGAUUGAAGUCAGUCGUGCUGGCGCGAAAUCAACCAUCUCGUCUUGAGGUCGCAUGGCGCGACGAGCCUCAAAACCGUCACGAAGCGUGAACUCUUGACGAAAAGGUGCACUUUCGUGUCCGCUGGUUAACAUCAAUUUCGAYCGUCAUAAAAAGGCUGGAGGGAUGUGGCUCCUUCGGGAGUGUUAUAACCUUUAGCGGAAUGUGGUGKUCGGGAUUGAGGAUUGCAACGAAUACCUUCAGGGCUGUUCCACCUGGCUUCUCAUUGGUAUCCUGGUGACGACAGCUUGCUGACUUUGUUAGGAUUCGCCUCUGAACAGGCUAGAGUGUGAGCAAAUUCGUUAAGGAUGUUAACGUAAUGGCUUUAAACGACC